CGUUGGUGCUUGUCUAUGCCUCUCUCAAUCCGUAACAACGACAAUAGCCAUGACAUCUACAACCGAUUAACCAACCAAUCGGAGGCCACCAGCUCUCCCUUCUAGAAUCUUGCACAAAACGCAUACACCGUUAUCACCGUUUUAGGAAGACCACAAGCAGCAGGAACCUUCAAGAAGGGAUAAGAUGAUGACACAACCGAUAAGCUCUUCAGGAGUUGAGUGGUGCGAUCGGUGGAACGGUGGAAGAUCUUCAAGAGUUGAGUGGAUUUUCAAACUCAUCACCGAAACAGAACGUUCAAUAUAUUUAUGGCCAUACAUCCUGGAUUGGUGUAUGCUUUAUGAGCUGGAACAACCUGCAGAAACUGAGUUUUUCCUUGUAGAUGUGGGCUGGACACGUGGGUUGCAAAUUACCCACCAUCUAUCUAUCCCUCAAUUGCUUUUCCAAGAAUUCUCCAUGUGCUAAAAACUGAAGUGGUGGUUCGGCCCAAAGAAUUCACUUGCAUGCCAUUUUUCAACUCUUCCUCCCAAUUUGAUGGUUUACCUAUCUUCUUGGCCGUGCGCCGUUUGAGUGAGGUAGGUGUAUGUGUCUUCCGUUAAGUACUGCAACAAAACCAGGUCAAGAUCACCAUUUCUCCCCUCCUAGAAUUUUCUUUUGUUCGAUGGAUCAAAUUUGCAAUCAAACAAUUCUUUCUCAGCUAAAGACAAACCCAUAUAUGUAUAUACUUUUUGUUCUGUUUCACUUCCUAUCUUGGUUCAGCUUCGUUGUUUCUGGGUUCACAGACUAUAGACCAAACUCCACCAUCUGGUAUGUAAUUUAGUGGUUUUCUACUCCUUUUUCGGCUAUCUAUGGAUGCAUUAAGAUCUUAUUUGCAUGCCUCUAUUCUCAUGGGUGUCUGUUAGUGCUUACACAAAUUAGGCACACCACCUAUUUGACAAUAUGCCUGAAUAUGUAGACCAAAAAAUUAGAGGGCUUCUAUAAUUGAAAACUUGCAUUGAAAAUGGGUGAAUGCUCACACACAUUGAAUUUCUCACUAUAUAAAUAUAUAGUCUCGCUAGAAUUGGUAUUACACUGUUCUUUACAUCACUGUUGGCAUAGUUGUUGUCGUAACGCUGUUCAAGUUGCUAAUCCAAAUUUCUGGUUCCACCGUUGCAAAUCCUGGUAAUUAUAUCCGUAUUUUGAUGUUUAUAUGUCAGUUGCACAAUAUUCACCUACAAUGCUUUCAUUCUUGCAUAUGUGUUUAGUAGAUGCCCACCAAGUGUUUGUCAAUAUGUCUAAAUCAACAAAAAGUUUAACAACUUGAUUUGGGUAAUUGGCUCCUCCACCUGUUCUCAGAUUUCCAAGGACUCCAACAUCAAAUACAACAAAUGAAAAGACAUUAAUAAAACUAUAAAUAGGCUUCAUUUGGAUGUGCUAAUUUGAAAUUGAAAGAUUUGAAGAGAAACUUUGUUAAAUUAUAUCAAUACUACAUAUUGAAUCUAGAGUAAUAGUUUUAAAGCGAUAGUCUUUGUUAAGUUUACCAGGUUUAAUCACAAACCAAUUUCAAAAACAACAAUCCAAACAGAAUGUUGUGAUUUUAUAGCAAACCAACAUGUGUGCAUAUACAUUAACCCAUCAAAAGCAAACUAAAAACCCAUCAUGCCAUGAAUAUAAAGAUCAAAUUUAAUGAAGCACAAAAUGAAAAAAGAGCUUACAAACCACCAAUUCUAGAAGAAGUUUAUCAAAACCAAGCACUGAAAUAUCAUCAUAAAUUCAUAAUAGACAUCCAAAGACACCCAAAAGGGUGACCACAUAGUAAGAGCUAUAGACUAUGCAAAACAACUAUAAAAUUAUAUGGUUAAUUUCGGAGUUCACAUGAAAAAGAAUCAGAGAACAUGCAAAUCAAGGGAAAUUGCAAAAAAAAAUACUAAAAUUAUGAACAGAAAACUUAAUGAAAGUACAAGAGGAAGAGUAAUCAUCCAUGACUUCCUAAAGUUUUGAGUAAAUAUAUAUAUAUAUAUAUAUGUUUGGUGCCUUUUUCCUUGUUUCUUUUCCAAACCUGUUGGCUUUCACAAUUUUCUAGAUUUAAAAAAUGCUUUUUAUUUGGUCAUUGUUUGUUUUGAAAGACCUUUCUUAAUCUAAACUUUCUUAAUAUGUAGACCAAAAAAUUAGAGGGCUUCUCUAAAUGAUUCUUUAUUUUCAUUGAGUUACUUUUGGUUUUCCUUCAACUUGAUUGGUUUGUUGAUGGGUUGGUUAGGUCAAGUGGUUAUUGGAUUGGACCAUAUAAUCAUCACCAUGAAGAAGGAGGGAUAUGGUUGUGUUUUUCAUCUCCUUGUGUUAUUUAGUUUGAAGUGGAUCUCAUCUCAUGGAUCACAGUAGUAAAUGUUUACAAGGAUGGUGGAAUUAUCAAGAAAGUGAUAGAGAAGGGAGAACAAGGAUGAUUGAUUGAUUUAUGAUCUUUGUAUAGAUCGAGAUUAGAAACCUUAACAAGCUUUGGCACCAUUGGGAGAGGGAAAAAGUUGAGUAUUUUACAUUGGCUGAUCUUUGGAAUUUUUUUGAUAAAUGGAGUGCUUAUGGUGCUUAUGUGUCUUACCUCUUUGCACUCCAAAUCUUUACAAGCAAGUCGUUGGUGAACAAUUUAAGGCACCAAUUUCAUUCUCUACAAUUGUAUAAGUUCUUUGAAACAUUUGUAAUUAGCUAGAGCUCGUGCACUGGGUUGCUUUGUUUUUAUUUGUAAUUUGAUAAUUUGAUACAGUUUGGAACAAAGAUUAUUUGUUGUGAUUACAAAGUUUCUUGAACGAUUUAUUAUGAACUUUUAUUCUUUUAUAGUUGGUUUGAAGGUUGAUAUAAUGUUGUAAUUUAAUUGCUUGGAACCCUCAUAUGGUUUAGUCAAAGUUGUCCCAUUUUGAUGAUUUCUUUCUUGUUUUUUGGUAUGAAUUAUAAUUCUAUGUUCUUAAAAUGGUUUGGCAAUUGAAAUGCUCGAAUCCCAUUAUUGAUUGUUUGGUGUUUAUUGACAUUGGAUAGUUACUCUUCUAUAUGUUUAUUUUGUUAUACAAAGCAAUUAACUUAUUUAGGUUCUUCACGUUCAUAACAUCAACUCUAUUUUUACGAAUUGUUGCAUUUCAAAAUUCUGAUUAAUGAAAGAACUGGAAACUCUAUGAUGAAACAGAGAUUGGGUUGGGAUUGACAGCAUUUUGCUUACUGUUCUUAUUCUUGGGAAUCAUUUGGUUUUUUGACAAGGGACUACCUACCAUGGAAAAUGCCUUGCCUUGUGAUGAUUGUACAAGGAACUAUUUCUUUCGACGUGGGCUUUUUCUUGGUUGUUGGUGUUCAAGUGUUUAUUGUUUUCGUAAUAAUUAAUGAAACAAAGGCACAGAUGGAUAAAAAUGAUCAAGAGGAGCGGUUGGGAAAUUAUCAAUUUCCUCAGGGUGGAAUGAAAAAAACAUUGAAAUGGGAAACAAUUGAAAGCCCCAUUUGGAAAAGAGCAUUUGGGCAAAAGCUACCCCAACUAGCUUUAGGCUAAAUAUGGAAUUCCAGUUUGAUUGCAUUUCCUAAUUCAGUUCUUGUGGAAAUUAAACAAGCAUGGGAAUCACUUUUGGUGUUGGUUUCCCAAGUCAGCCCUUUUGUACUUAUGGUGUUGAUUGGCACUAAAGUACUCUCUUCCCUUAUCUUUCUAAUUUUUUUUAUGCAUUCAAGAAAUUAGAACGCAAGGUUUUGUUUGAUUUGGUUGGGUUUAUUUAAGAAAUUGUACCAAUUGGUUUUUGAAUAGCCUUCUUUUGAUUGCUUAAGUAGUAGAGUGUGUUUACUUUAAUACCAAUUGUUUGUUUCUUUGCCAUGACUGAUUUGGAAUACCUAAAAAUUUGUAUCAGUAGAUUUUUUGUUUAAGCCAAUAAAGUUUUUUAAUAAAGACAAAAUAUGAUAUUUUUUUUAUUAUAGAAAUAGGGAAGAAGAAUAUAGCGAUCUCGAUUUUUCCUUCAUUGUUUAUUGUAUUUUGGACUUGGUUCUGUGGACGUAUGUUGUUGUCUUAUUCUCGUUUCCAUCCUUUGAUUCUUUGUAUUUGAGUUUUGGGAUAUGUUGGGCAGGUUUGAAACAGAUUGGUUGUGAUUUGAAAUAAAUAGUUGCUGCCCAGAUUUUGGUUUCUUCGCUCGAGCGAGGCUUUUGUCGCUCGAACGAGCUUUCGGUUUUAGUUUCUUCGCUCGAGCCAGGAUUCCUUUGCUCAAGCGAGCUUUGAGUGGUGUGU